rnacentral:rRNA from 1 species
CGACCAAGACGAGCCGUCCAGCGAUAGCGCAGGCCGGUGAGAGUUGGUCGUGAUUCUUUGUCCACAGGUUAGAAGGACGACAAUCCGUAUGACCCCGUAACGACUGAGGCGCGCAUAACAUGCGGCCAAUGAGAUGGCCAGGGCCGCCGCACGACGCGGGACGUUCCGACGUUCCGCGACAACAAUCGUGAGGCCUUGUAACGUCCUGGUCAUCAUACGCCGACCCCACGCAAAGUGCGCGUGGGUGAAGACAUAGUCUGAUCCCGCCAGAAAUGGUGGAAUAGAUUGCGAUGUCGGCUCUUCCCAUCCUGGUCCUGCAGCAGGGGCCAAGGGUGGGGCUGCUCGCCCAUUAAAGGGGAACGUGAGCUGGGUUUAGACCGUCGUGAGACAGGUCGGCCUCUACCUGAUGGAAGCGGAGGAACACUGUGGGGAAGCCCUGCCCAGUACGAGAGGAACAGCGGGGCGUAGCCUCUGGCGUACCGGUUGUCCGAGAGGGCACCGCCGGGCAGCUAAGCUAUCGUGGAUAACCGCUGAAAGCAUCUAAGCGGGAAGCCACUCCUAAGAAGAGUGUUCCGUCAGUACAGCCUUUCCCCGCAAGGGGAGGGGUGAGCUGUGAAGGCCUGCGAUAGAAGAUCGCGUUGAAGGGGUGGGGGUGUACGCUGGAAGCCUUCGGGCGACCAGUUCAGCCCGUCCACUACCUAUCGGCCAACGUGCGGAUGAA